UACGUAGGGGGCUAGCGUUGUCCGGAAUCAUUGGGCGUAAAGCGCGUGUAGGCGGUUCGGUAAGUCCGCUGUGAAAGUCGGGGGCUCAACCCUCGAAUGCCGGUGGAUACUGUCGGACUAGAGUACGGAAGAGGCGAGUGGAAUUCCUGGUGUAGCGGUGAAAUGCGCAGAUAUCAGGAGGAACACCAAUUGCGAAGGCAGCUCGCUGGGACGUUACUGACGCUGAGACGCGAAAGCGUGGGGAGCAAGCAGG
rnacentral:rRNA from 1 species